rnacentral:rRNA from 1 species
GAGUUUGAUCAUGGCUCAGAUUGAACGCUGGCGGCAUGCUUUACACAUGCAAGUCGAACGGGGUGCGGGGGCAACUUCGCAUUCAGUGGCGAACGGGUGAGUAAUGCAUCGGAACGUGUCCCGUAGUGGGGGAUAACGCCGCGAAAGCGGCGCUAAUACCGCAUACGCUCUGUGGAGGAAAGCAGGGGACCCUGGAAGGGGCCUUGUGCUAGGGGGGCGGCCGAUGUCCGAUUAGCUAGUUGGUGGGGUAAUGGCCCACCAAGGCUGCGAUCGGUAGCUGGUCUGAGAGGAUGAUCAGCCACACUGGGACUGAGACACGGCCCAGACUCCUACGGGAGGCAGCAGUGGGGAAUUUUGGACAAUGGGGGCAACCCUGAUCCAGCCAUGCCGCGUGCGGGAAGAAGGCCUUCGGGUUGUAAACCGCUUUUAGCCGGGACGAAAGCUCUACGGAUAACACCCGUAGGGGUUGACGGUACCGGCGGAAUAAGCACCGGCUAACUACGUGCCAGCCACCGCGGUAAUAC